UAAUCAGGCAAUUAGCUGCCGAAGACAGUAGGUGCCGCAAGGCAUAAGCACAUCAACGCCUACCGAGGAAUGCGAGAUUCAUUGAAUUGGAUUUUACCUCUGCGUCUUUGUGUACGCAGAGGUUUUUAUAUUUAACC
rfam:Clostridium sp. ASF502 genomic scaffold acMal-supercont1.2, whole genome shotgun sequence.